rnacentral:rRNA from 1 species
CCAAUACAUACUUUUUCAAGUAUGAAAUUUGGUGAUUUACAAUAACUUAGCAAAUCGCAUAGUGAAAACAGGCGAUAAAUCAUUCAAGUUUCUGACCUAUCAGCUUUCGACGGUAUGGUAUUGGCUUACCGUGGCAGUGACGGUUAACGGGGGAUUAGGGUUCGAUUCCGGAGAGGGAGCCUGAGAAACGGCUACCACAUCUAAGGAAGGCAGCAGGCGCGCAAAUUACCCAAUUCUAACAGCAUAAGAGAGGUAGUGACAAGAAAUAACAAUACAAGGCAGUUAAAAUGCUUUGUAAUUGGAAUGAUAGAAAUUUAAACACUUUUUAAAGUAUCAAUUGGAGGGCAAGUCUGGUGCCAGCAGCCGCGGUAAUUCCAGCUCCAAUAGCGUAUAUUAAAAUUGUUGCAGUUAAAAAGCUCGUAGUUGAAUUUCUGUUAAAAAUAACCGGUCUGCUUUUAAUAAAAGUGGUAUCUUGGUGUGUUUUUAGCAAUAAUGUCCUUUGAAAUGUUUUUUACUUUAUUGUAAUAAAUAAUAUUCAGGAUUUUUACUUUGAGAAAAUUAGAGUGUUUCUAGCAGGCUAACGCUUUGAAUACUGCAGCAUGGAAU